AACGAACGCUGGCGGCAUGCCUAACACAUGCAAGUCGAACGAGACCUUCGGGUCUAGUGGCGCACGGGUGCGUAACGCGUGGGAACCUGCCCUUAGGUUCGGAAUAACUCCCCGAAAGGGGUGCUAAUACCGGAUAAUGGCUUCGGACCAAAGAUUUAUCGCCUUUGGAUGGGCCCGCGUUGGAUUAGCUAGUUGGUAGGGUAAAAGCCUACCAAGGCGACGAUCCAUAGCUGGUCUGAGAGGAUGAUCAGCCACACUGGGACUGAGACACGGCCCAGACUCCUACGGGAGGCAGCAGUGGGGAAUAUUGGACAAUGGGCGAAAGCAUGAUCCAGCAAUGACGCGUGAGUGCUGAAGGCCUUAGGGUUGUAAAGCUCUUUUAACCGGGAUGAUAAUGACAGUACCGGGAGAAUAAGCUCCGGCUAACUCCGUG
rnacentral:rRNA from 1 species